GUGCCAGCCGCCGCGGUAAGACGAACCGUGCAAACGUUAUUCGGAAUCACUGGGCUUAAAGGGCGCGUAGGCGGCCGAGCGGGUCGUGGGUGAAAUCCUCCAGCUUAACUGGAGAACAGCAUUUGAUACUGGCGGCCUCGAGGAAGGUAGGGGCAUGCGGAACUGAUGGUGGAGCGGUGAAAUGUGUUGAUAUCAUCAGGAACUCCGGUGGCGAAAGCGGCGUGCUGGACCUUUUCUGACGCUGAGUGCGCGAAGGCCAGGGGAGCAAACGGGAUUAGAUACCCCAGUAGUCC
rnacentral:rRNA from 1 species